ACUGCUUUGAUAUCUCCACAUGUCUUAAUUGAAACCUAAGACAGUAGCACCAGCCCGCUGCCUCUGUUAGGCCUUUAAUAACACAGUAGUGGAGAGAAAGAAACCUCAGGGAGGAAUUAUCUCACAGACAGAGAUCACUGGUGGGUGAAAUGGCCCCGGCUGAGUUGUUUUUCAUUUGCCAGCUUGGUCGGUAUCCAGAAUCCGUGACUUGAAAUGAAACUACCUCGCAGUUGCUGAGCAGAGAAAGAAAGUUGGCAGAGAUGCCAGAGGAAGCAGCUCUCAAGGCUUUAAUUGUCAGAUUGGACAAGAACAUAUAUACAUGCUAAACAGGAAGGAAAAAUAUACAACGGGAUAAAUGGAAGAUAACAGUACAAAGCUGGAACCUAAUGAAAAGAAGUCAGCCUCACUAAGUUCUGCCGUUCUCCCAAGUGGACUGUAUACUUCCAGGUCUUCAACCCCAGGACUCUUCUGGUGAAGAUCAAAUAUCCAUUCCACAUGAAGAAGACCGAAGUGUCUUCCUGUGUGCUGACCUCAGCAUCUGACAGAUGUCAGAUAGCAGAACAUUGCUGAUAUUGUGAAUGUUUACAUUCAACUCAAGAACCAAAACCUAAAUAAACAAAUGGGACCACUGUGUAAGCCCCA
rnacentral:lncRNA from 1 species